CGGGAUGUAGCGCAGUUGGUAGCGCACUACGUUCGGGACGUAGGGGUCGCUGGUUCGAAUCCAGUCAUCCCGACAA
rnacentral:tRNA from 2 species